UUCCGGGGGCNAAUUCUNNUUAGAGUNGGUGAGUAACACGUANGUAAUCUACCUUUGGGUGGGGAAUAACAACCGGAAACGGUUGCUAAUACCGCAUAAUGCAGCGGCACCGCAUGGUGACGGUUGUUAAAGCGGGGGAUCGCAAGACCUCGCGCCUAAAGAGGAGCCUGUGGCGGAUUAGCUAGUUGGCAGGGUAACGGCCUACCAAGGCAACGAUCCGUAGCCGGCCUGAGAGGGCGGUCGGCCACACUGACACUGAAAUACGGGUCAGACUCCUACGGGAGGCAGCAGUCGGGAAUUUUGGGCAAUGGGCGCAAGCCUGACCCAGCAACGCAGCGUGAAGGAUGAAAUCCCUCGGGAUGUAAACUUCNCAAGAAUGGGAAGAAUAAGUAGGGGAUAAUACCCUCUAUGAUGACNGUACCAUUUGUAAGCUCCGGCUAACUCCGUGCCAGCAGCCGCGGUAAUACGGGGGGAGCAAGCGUUGCUCGGAUUUACUGGGCGUAAAGGGCGCGUANGCGGUCAGUGCAAGUCAGUUGUGANAUCUCCGAGCUUAACUCGGAAAGGUCAACUGAUACUGCUCGACUAGAGUGCGGAAGGGGCAACUGGAAUUCUUGGUGUAGCGGUGAAAUGCGUANAUAUCAAGAGGAACACCUGCGGCGAANGCGGGUUGCUGGGCCNACACUGACGCUGAGGCNCGAAAG
rnacentral:rRNA from 1 species